rnacentral:rRNA from 1 species
UCCUACGGGGCGCAGCAGUAGGGAAUCUUCCACAAUGGACGAAAGUCUGAUGGAGCAACGCCGCGUGAGUGAAGAAGGGUUUCUGCUCGUAAAGCUCCGUUGGUAGUGAAGAAAGAUAGAGGGAGUAACUGGCCUUUAUUUUACGGUAAUUACUUAGAAAGUCACGGCUAACUACGUGUCAGCAGCCGCGGUAAUACGUAGGUGGCAAGCGUUGUCCGGAUUUAUUGGGCGUAAAGCGAGUGCAGGCAGGUCAAUAAGUAU